AGCUUUUUACGGGUAAUUUUAGUACGCAGCAAUAAUUAAACAAGUUCUCGAUGUAACAGAAUUGGCAUCAAACCAUUUUUUUUCCUAAUUAGUCAAUUAAAUUGAAGAAUAGCUGCAGCCCUAGUUUUAUUGGAACCCAAAAAUAUAGCUACCCAUAUAAAGAUAGGCUCUAUACCUCAAACCUGAAAUAUGAAUAUUACUGACUAUAAUAACUCUUUAGUGUUAACUGUUGAAGGAAAAGUAGCAUUCCUAUUUAGGCUAUUUUCAGAUUACAGUUACAGACUUAAUCAUUUUGUCAUUUCACCUAGAUAAUUCACAAAGAGCCAAGGACAUCACAAAGAGUAUUGCCAUGAUGAUCGUGAAGGACCUACAACCCCUCUCUGUGGUUGAACAGGAGGGUUUCAAGAAUUUAAUAAAGACACUUGAUCCCCGCUACAGGAUGCCAAGUGAUUUCUCACGGCAGCUAGGAGCACACACAGGGAACAAGUGGAGCAAAUCCGCUUUCUUCUCGUUCUCCAAACCAGCAGACAGUUGGCAGUAUGUGGUUUAUAGACCUGGCAGGAAGUGAAAGGGCAUCAGACACCAAAAAAACAAACAGACACAGUCGCAUAGAAGGAGCUGAGAUCAACCAAAGUCUCUUAGCAGUAAGCUAAGUAAGUGAUAUGUUAACACACACAAAGAGCUCAAAUACAGAAACAAAGGUCAUUGUAUUUACCUUUUAUUUGUUUAAAGCUCAAAGAAUUGUAGGUGCAAUGGGUCGAGUGCUGCUUAGGAGCACUCGGUGUUA